rnacentral:rRNA from 1 species
UGGGGAAUAUUGCACAAUGGGCGCAAGCCUGAUGCAGCCAUGCCGCGUGUAUGAAGAAGGCCUUCGGGUUGUAAAGUACUUUCAGCGAGGAGGAAGGCGUUGUGGUUAAUAACCGCAACGAUUGACGUUACUCGCAGAAGAAGCACCGGCUAACUCCGUGCCAGCAGCCGCGGUAAUACGGAGGGUGCAAGCGUUAAUCGGAAUUACUGGGCGUAAAGCGCACGCAGGCGGUCUGUCAAGUCGGAUGUGAAAUCCCCGGGCUCAACCUGGUAACUGCAUCCGAAACUGGCAGGCUAGAGUCUUGUAGAGGGGGGUAGAAUUCCAGGUGUAGCGGUGAAAUGCGUAGAGAUCUGGAGGAAUACCGGUGGCGAAGGCGGCCCCCUGGACAAAGACUGACGCUCAGGUGCGAAAGCGUGGGGAGCAAACA